AGACUCUAUGGGGAUAAUAAAAGAAAAAGAAAUGUGUGGACAAGACACGACUCUAAACUGGGGAAAAACAAAACUGACAUAACGUGAACAAGACACGACUCUGAUUAGAAAAACAGAGGACAGACUGGAGAACUCACUGGGGAGUGAAGAACUCACACUGGGGAACAGAUUUCCAAAGGAAAAUAAAUCCAUUGGAGAGACACAAGCUGACUCCUAAGGAGAAGCAAAAGAAAACUCC
rnacentral:lncRNA from 1 species